AACGUGAACUUUAUACUGUUGUCUUUCCUUGGAUCUCCUGUUCUCUCCAUCGUCGCAGACUUCGAGUCAGCAUAGAAAUUGAGCUCGACAACUUUUUUCUGCGAUUAUUGCUAUUCCUCAUUUCAGUUGGAUUUUAAGGACAUAGGUUGAUUUUCCAGCCCCCUCAUUGACACCCUGCUGCGCGCCAGUAAUUUUAUGACAAUCGCCUCUCUCUCUCUCUCUUGCUCUUGCUCUCGCUCUCUCUCUCUGCCCCUAGAGGCGAAACAGCGGAGUAUUUUGUUCCUGAUGUUGGACUGCGGUAGAUGCAAGAAAAAGGGCUGUAAAUUCUUUCGUUUGUUUUUAACGUAGUUUCUACUCCUCGGUUUCCUUCGAAAUAAGGGAUGCUUUCUACACUGUGCUUUUUGCUCCGUUCGCCUUCGCCCCCCGCCCGCCUUGCCGCCCGGACCAGAAAAUGUGCGUCACACCAACUAUACAGAGGACGCGGGUGUGCCGCAGUCUGGUGUCAGAUGACGACGGUGGGGAAAUAAAUCUGCCCCUGCCCAAGGAGUUUAAUCACAUCACUCCAGUGUUUUUUCACCGUCUGAGUUAGUGAAGCUACCUGUACCUGCCGACACCUCCGAUACUCGCCUGCCUGUCUACCCUUCGCGCAGUCGCGUGAACCAAUCAACGGGAACAGGGAGAGCAAUACACAUCCAAAAAGAUGAUGCCAGCAAAUUGUUGAAAAUGGAAAAUGGACACCCACCUUGAAUGCUACCCAUUAGUGUGGCCAUUGGAGAAGGCCUCUAUGCCAAAUGAAGAUCUGGUUCCAAGGUCGCGCAUUUAGUCUUGAGGUGGUCAGAAGCAAGCUCCUCUAACCCUUGGAGAAGAGCAACCAUGUCUAUGGCACGACUGAUAUUUUCUCUAUGGCAGGAUUGGAUUGGAUUAUUGUCCUGGCACGACAUACAAACCCCACCCCCUUCGAUGGAGUCACACUGCAGGCAUCCAUCUUGCAGCACUUUGAACAUUAGCAACCAAGCUCUUAUUAGCAACCAUCGCUGAUGACAUGCAAUAUCCACUUUGCCAAGAAUUUUGUUCCUACGGCUGUCCCAGCAUCUCAGCAAACUCAACUUUUCCUUGAUGUACACUUGUACAGUUGGGCAGAAGCACCUCAAAUGUAACACUUGAUAAAUGUAACAUGGUCAAUAACUUAAUAUACAGUGUGGCUACCAAAGCCAUUACAGGUUUGUACAUGUGCAGUGUAACUGGAAUAGCUAAUGACUACUGACAUGUCAAAAGUAGUAAAAUUUCAUAGUGCUAGGCUAAAUAUUUUCUAAGUAAAUGAACAAAAUCCAAAAACUGUGACAUUUAACAGGCGACUCUCCCCUACUUUUAUUAUUUAUUACUUUUAUUUUUUGCUAUGCACUUUAUAUUUCUGAUUAUUGUUUAUGCUGAGCAGUGGAGAUCUGUAUUCUUACGUAAAGGACAAUAAACAAUAUAUCUUUAAAAAGAA